CAGUAGCCACGGGAAUACGUAGGGGGCAAGCGUUAUCCGGAAUUACUGGGUGUAAAGGGAGCGUAGACGGUUAAACAAGUCUGAAGUGAAAUGCCGGGGCUCAACCCCGGAGCUGCUUUGGGAACUGUAGAACUGGAGUGUCGGAGGGGUAAGCGGAAUUCCCAGUGUAGUGGUGAAAUGCGUAGAUAUUGGGAGGAACACCGGCGGCGAAGGCGGCUUACUGGACGACAACUGACGUUGAGGCUCGAAGGCGUGGGUAGCAAACAGGAUUAGAUACCCCUGUAGUCCCUGUCUCUUAUAC
rnacentral:rRNA from 1 species